rnacentral:rRNA from 1 species
GACGAACGCUGGCGGCGUGCUUAACACAUGCAAGUCGAACGGAAACGCCCUGCUUUUGUGGGGUGCUAGAGUGGCGAACGGUUGAGUAACACGUUAGUAACCUGCCCUUGACUUUGGGAUAACUUCAGGAAACUGGGGCUAAUACCGGAUAGGAGCUCCUGCUGCAUGGUGGGGGUUGGAAAGUUUCGGCGGUUGGGGAUGGACUCGCGGCUUAUCAGCUUGUUGGUGGGGUAGUGGCUUACCAAGGCUUUGACGGGUAGCCGGCCUGAGAGGGUGACCGGCCACAUUGGGACGGAGAUACGGCCCAGACUCGAACGGGAGGCAGCAGUGGGGAGUAUUGCACAAUGGGCGGAAGCCUGAUGCGGCAACGCCGCGUGCGGGAUGACGGCCUGCGGGUUGUAAACCGCUUUCGCCUGUGACGAAGCGUGAGUGACGGUAAUGGGUAAAGAAGCACCGGCUAACUACGUG